AGUCAACACAACACAACACAGCACAGCACAACUACAAGAUGAGAACUUUCUUUGGACUCUUCGUUGUUCUCUUCAUGGCCGUGUGCCUGACGCCCUACUCCGACGCCUGCUGUUGUCAUCACGGCAGUCACCACAGCCACCACAGCAGGCACGGCAUCCCCAUCCCCAUCCCCUACCCCAUGGGCGGCAGCAGCGGCGGCAGCCACUCCGCCAACAUCCCCCUCAUCAUCACAACAACAGGAAAAUAGAAACAUGUGACGAGAUCAACGUGGACCGACGUCAAAAACUGGUUUCAGUCUUUGUCUUCACCGCUGUCAGUCUGUCUGUCUGUCUACUCUGGCUUUCUGUCUGUCUGUCUGUCUGUCUACUCUGGC